AGGGAGCUACCAUUUGAUUUUUAGGGGGGGGGGGCUAGGAUGAAAUUUGAAAAAAAUAGGCAGGACAGGAGUUUUGAGUAAAAAAAGGCAGGAUGAGACACUUGCAUAAAAAAAAAGUCAGGACGACAAUUUAGGUAAAAAAAGUCAGGAUAAACUAAAAAAAAAGAAGGAAGGACCGAACAGAGUGAAAAAUAAAAAGGCAGGACAGAGAUUACAGCUAAAAAAAA
rnacentral:lncRNA from 1 species